rnacentral:rRNA from 1 species
AAAUUGAAGAGUUUGAUCAUGGCUCAGAUUGAACGCUGGCGGCAGGCCUAACACAUGCAAGUCGAACGGUAACAGGAAGCAGCUUGCUGCUUCGCUGACGAGUGGCGGACGGGUGAGUAAUGUCUGGGAAACUGCCUGAUGGAGGGGGAUAACUACUGGAAACGGUGGCUAAUACCGCAUAACGUCGCAAGACCAAAGAGGGGGACCUUCGGGCCUCUUGCCAUCAGAUGUGCCCAGAUGGGAUUAGCUUGUUGGUGAGGUAACGGCUCACCAAGGCGACGAUCCCUAGCUGGUCUGAGAGGAUGACCAGCCACACUGGAACUGAGACACGGUCCAGACUCCUACGGGAGGCAGCAGUGGGGAAUAUUGCACAAUGGGCGCAAGCCUGAUGCAGCCAUGCCGCGUGUAUGAAGAAGGCCUUCGGGUUGUAAAGUACUUUCAGCGGGGAGGAAGGUGUUGCGGUUAAUAACCGCAGCAAUUGACGUUACCCGCAGAAGAAGCACCGGCUAACUCCGUGCCAGCAGCCGCGGUAAUACGGAGGGUGCAAGCGUUAAUCGGAAUUACUGGGCGUAAAGCGCACGCAGGCGGUCUGUCAAGUCGGAUGUGAAAUCCCCGGGCUCAACCUGGGAACUGCAUUCGAAACUGGCAGGCUUGAGUCUUGUAGAGGGGGGUAGAAUUCCAGGUGUAG